CUCGCGAUAACUGCCAUCUGCAGUAGCCUACAGUACUGUAGGUGGCAGUUGUCGCGAGGUUAGUGUGUGAGGUCAGAUGAUGAGUGACAACGCGGGAAAAAAACAAAACCGAGACGGAUAAUGGAGGUAACAACAGUGACGGAAGGCACUCCUGCCAAAAAACCAAAACCCUCGUGUAAAUACCGCGAUCAAUGGGACAGCAAAUUUAAUUUUAGCAUGGUACGAAAGAUUGUUACAGAGAAUAGGAUGACAUUAGACAACAGAACUGUUUGCGCUUUACUCUCAUGUAAAAUGAACCACUCUGGCCCAGCCCACAAAUACACUCCUUCCAAAACAGUCAUAAAGAAUGCAAAGUCUGCAACAAAUUUGUACAAUAACUCACUAAAAGAGUAAAGAAAAGCAAUAUGAAAUCAAAAGAAUGUGGAAUGAAAAUAAAAUGUAAAGACAAGCAAUGUUAAAUGAACAGAAAAUAUGCAAAUAAGCCUUUAAAUAAAUGCUCUUCAUAUAUACCCUUUUGUGUUUUCAUUUGGGCUAUAACACCUGUCUUAAAAUGUAAGGGAUACUGGAGCUUGGUUGGGGUGGUGGGACUGCUUGUUGGUGGGCGCCGAAAAAUUUCCCUUAUUUUCAAAUCCAAAACUUGACAGGUAUGCCUUUGAUUAAUGUUGAAGAAAUAAAUGAAAUUUGCUGCAGGUUCGGCAAAGUAAGAAAACAGAUCAUUUUACCAGGAGUCCAUCAAAAAUAUGGCAGCCAUUGUAGAGAUGGAUGAUCUAUCUGGCCAAGAUUUGUAUCAAAAGAGGCCAAGGCCAGUAGGGGUAAGUGUCACAGACAGAGUCUGGUGGCACAGACAGUGAUCAACGAGUGCCAAAGAAGAGCAGUUGGGGUAGAUAUUGUUACGGAGUUGGAUGAAGAAAAACAAAUCUGCGUUGGUUUGGCACACAAAGGAGAGUCAGAGAUCUCUUCAUGUCAUCAGUGAGGAACCACAUACACCCAACACUGCUGUUUAUAAAGGGACGUGCCUUGGAUGCAGAGACUCUUUCAGAAAUAAUGAUUUCUCUACACUUCUUCAACACUGAAUAUGCUUCAAAGUUGAGAGACACCCUGACAUUCAUUGAAAACAGUUUAAUGUAUCAUAAUGCCAAAACCAAUAUGCCAGCCACAAUGGCCAGUUUUUUUAAUUAAAUUAAUAUAUAUGUAUGUAAAUGCAUGAUGUUGAUUGUUGUUUAUUUAUUAAUGUGUUUGUUGGUUUGUAAUAUAUAUUUAUGUUUGAUUGUUUUAUUUAUGUGUUUGUUGGUUUGUUUGUAACACAUAUUUAUGUAUUAAA